AGCUCAACCCGUAAAACCGGAGGGCCCCGGCCUUCCGAACCGUGCGACUCUUCUAGAGCAGAGCGAAUCCGAGC
rnacentral:rRNA from 1 species